UUGCUUCAGCGGCUCACCUGCUAAAACUGGAAUGGUACAGAGAGGAUUAGCCUGGCCCCUGCAUAAGGAUGACAUGUAAAUUCAUGAAGCAUUUCGCAUUUCU
rnacentral:snRNA from 1 species